AUACCGGAUAGUGCAUCGAUUGCUGGAAUGCACGAUGUACGAAAGCUGAGGCGCCCAAGGAUAGGUCUGUGGCCGAUUAGGUUGUUGUUGAUGUAACGGACCAACAAGCCUACGAUCGGUACGGGUUGUGAGAGCAAUAGCCCGGAGAUGGGUUCUGAGAGAAGAACCCAGGUCCUACGGGACGCAUCAGGCGCGAAAACUUUACAAUGUGCGAAAGCACGAUAAGGGAACUCUGAGUGCCUCCUAAGGAGGCUGUUCAGAUGUUUAAAAAGCAUCUGGAGGAAGGGCUGGGCAAGACCGGUGCCAGCCGCCGCGGUAACACCGGCAGCCCAAGUGGUAGUCAUGCUUACUGGGUCUAAAGCGUCCGUAGCCGGCCGGGUAAGUUCCUUGGGAAAUUUGAUCGCUUAACGAUCAAGCUACCUGGGAAUACUACUUGGCUUGGGACCGGGAGAGGUCAGAGGUACUUCAAGGGUAGGGGUGAAAUCCGUUAAUCCUUGGGGGACCACCAGUAGCGAAGGCGUCUGAUCAGACCGGAUCCGACGGUGAGGGACGAAGGCUAGGGGAGCGAAGCGGAUUAGAUACCCGCGUAGUCCUAGCUGUAAACGAUGCGGG
rnacentral:rRNA from 1 species